rnacentral:rRNA from 1 species
AGAGCGAACGCUGGCGGCAGGCCUAACACAUGCAAGUCGAGCGCCCGUAGCAAUACGGGAGCGGCAGACGGGAUAGUAACACGUGGGAACGCGCCCUUCGGUUCGGAAUAACUCAGGGAAACUUGAGCUAAUACCGGAUACGCCCUUACGGGGAAAGAUUUAUUGCCGAAGGAACGGCCCGCGUCCGAUUAGCUAGUUGGUGAGGUAAUGGCUCACCAAGGCUACGAUCGGUAGCUGGUCUGAGAGGAUGACCAGCAUCACUGGGACUGAGACACGGCCCAGACUCCUACGGGAGGCAGCAGUGGGGAAUCUUGCGCAAUGGGCGAAAGCCUGACGCAGCGACGCCGCGUGCGGGAUGAAGGCUCUCGGGUCGUAAACCCCGUUUCAGUGGGAACGAAAUGACGGUACCACAGAAGAAGGACCGGCCAACGUACGUGCCAGCAGCCGC